rnacentral:rRNA from 1 species
AUUGAACGCUGGCGGCAGGCCUAACACAUGCAAGUCGAACGAGUGGCGGACGGGUGAGUACUGUCUGGGAACCUGCCCGAUGGAGGGGGAUAACUACUGGAAACGGUAGCUAAUACCGCAUACCAUCGGAUUUGCCCAGAUGGGAUUAGCUUGUGGGUGAGGUAACGGCUCACCUAGGCGACGAUCCCUAGCUGGUCUGAGAGGAUGACCAGCCACACUGGAACUGAGACACGGUCCAGACUCCUACGGGAGGCAGCAGUGGGGAAUAUUGAACAAGGGGCGCAAGCCUGAUGAAGCCAUGCCGCGUGUAUGAAGAAGGUCUUCGGGUGGUAAAGUACUUUCAGCGGGGAGGCGUUACCCGAAGAAGAAGCACCGGCUAACUCCGUGCCAGCAGCCGCGGUAAUUC